GAUAACGUGUCCGAGUGGUUAAGGAGAUAGACUUGAAACGUCUAUAAGACAACUAGAUAUCUAUUGGCUUCGGCCUCGCAGGUUCGAAUCCUGUCGUUAUCG